rnacentral:rRNA from 1 species
GACGAACGCUGGCGGCGUGCUUAACACAUGCAAGUCGAACGGAAAGGCCUGCUUUCCCUUGUGGAUUGCGGGUACUCGAGUGGCGAACGGGUGAGUAACACGUGAGUGAUCUGCCCCCAACUUGGGUAUAAGCCUGGGAAACUGGGUCUAAUUCCCGAUAGGACUGCAGGGUGGUGCCUGUGGUGGAAAACGAUUUUCUAGUGGUUGGGGAUGAGCUCGCGGCCUAUCGGCUUGUUGGUGGGGGAAUGGCCUACCAAGGCGGCGACGGGUAGCCGGCCUGAGAGGGUGGACGGCCACAUUGGGACUGAGAUACGGCCCAGACUCCUACGGGAGGCAGCAGUGGGGAAUAUUGCACAAUGGGCGGAAGCCUGAUGCAGCGACGCCGCGUGGGGGAUGACGGCCUUCGGGUUGUAAACUCCUUUCGACCGCGAGGAAGCCACCUGGUUGGAAGGGUGGUGACGGUAGUGGUAGAAGAAGCACCGGCUAACUACGUG